rnacentral:lncRNA from 1 species
UGUAAAAUCAGUUAAUUGUAACUGUUUUUAUUCAAUAAAAUUGGUAUUAGUUGCUUUUCUUAAUUUCUCUAAUGAUCUGCCAUGCCAUUUUAUCAUAGAAUCCUUUUUGCUUUUUAUAUCUUUUUUUCUUUGCCUAAAUUAUUGAAUAAAACUUUCUAUACUCUUUUUCUUUAAAUCUGUAGUUUGGGGAAACAGGGACAUCAAUCAGAGAUGAGUGCUUAUUGGAGUUCCUAAUAGGUACUAACCUUUUUGUUUUAAAUAAGAGUAAUAAAGUACCUAUCUUUUGUUGUUAAAACAGAAGGGAGAUCAUUGAUCUAAUAUUUUAGGGACUAAAACUAUUUUUCACCUAACUGAUGAUAGACAUGUUUCUAAGGAGCCAUCUGCUUCAAAUCAUAGAUACAUCUACUUCAAUUUAACAGGUAUAGUACCUAUUCAGGUAACAUACAGAGAUCCAAGAAAAAUUAAUUGAGCUUCUUUUAGAGAGGACCUUAAGUCUAACCUUUGGAGUAUUCAGAGUUGGUUUUGUACAGUGAUGGAUUUAGAAGAGAUUGUUGACCAGAUUCAACAGGAAAUUCUCUUGUCCUACCAUCAAAAUUGUUUGAUUAAGACUUAAAAGCUUUGGCUUAUCAAGGCAGAUUCCUUGGUGGAAUAUAGCUUAGCAGAGUUAGAUUUAAUAUUAGAAAGUUCUUUAAUAAAGCUAAAAGGAUAGAUAAAUGGAACACACAUAGAAAUGUGUUCCACCUGUUAUAAUAAAAUCAUUAGAAAGCUGAAAAGGUCUUCUUGGAAAAGCUACCCUCACAGAAUUGAGGAAAUACCUGAUGUAUCCAGAUUAGUGAAGAUAAUGUACAAAGGGAAUUAUUACAAGGUUAGUACUGUUACUCAGCCAGAUGACAGGAUGAAUAAUGCUGGCAAGGACUUGUUACUGGCAAAGUUUGAAAAACCGGCAUUCUAUAGAAUGCGUGGCGUUUUUAGGCAACGUAUGAAAUAUGAGAAUUAUUACAUACUUUCCCUAGGCAUUGUAUAUAAUACCUAGGCAU